rnacentral:rRNA from 1 species
GACAGAGGGUGCAAACGUUGUUCGGAAUUACUGGGCGUAAAGCGCGUGUAGGCGGCCCUGCAAGUCGGGUGUGAUAUCCCACGGCUCAACCGUGGAAGUGCACUCGAAACUGCAGGGCUAGAGUCCUGGAGAGGAAGGUGGAAUGCUUGGUGUAGAGGUGAAAUUCGUAGAUAUCAAGCGGAACACCCAGGGGGAAACCAGUCGACUGGGCAUCUACUGACGCUGAGGUGCGAGAGCGUGGGGAGCGAACCGG